rnacentral:rRNA from 1 species
UACGGGGGGGGGCAAGCGUUGUUCGGAAUUACUGGGUGUAAAGAGUGUGUAGGCGGUGUUCUAAGUCUGUUGUGAAAUCUCCCGGCUUAACUGGGAGGGUGCGGCGGAGACUGGAAUGCUAGAGUGUGGGAGAGGUAAGCGGAAUUCCUGGUGUAGCGGUGAAAUGCGCAGAUAUCAGGAGGAACACCGGUGGCGAAGGCGCCACUCUGGGCCGAAACUGACGCUGAGGAGCGAAAGCGUGGGUAGCAAACAGG